GACGUAGGGCGCGAGCGUUGUCCGGAUUUAUUGGGCGUAAAGAGCUCGUAGGCGGCUUGUCGCGUCGACUGUGAAAUCCCGCGGCUCAACUGCGGGUCUGCAGUCGAUACGGGCAGGCGUAGAGUUCGGUAGGGGAGACUGGAAUUCCUGGUGUAGCGGUGAAAUGCGCAGAUAUCAGGAGGAACACCGGUGGCGAAGGCGGCUCUCUGGGACGGUACUGACGCUGAGACGCGAAAGCGUGGGGAGCGAACAGG
rnacentral:rRNA from 1 species